UACGGAGGAGGCAAGCGUUAUCCGGAAUUACUGGGCGUAAAGCGUGUGUAGGCGGCCUCGCAAGUCGGAUGUGAAAGCCCCGGGCUCAACCCGGGAAGUGCACUCGAUACUGCUUGGCUAGAGUCUCGGAGAGGUUGGUGGAAUUCUCGGUGUAGAGGUGAAAUUCGUAGAUAUCGAGAGGAACACCGGUGGCGAAGGCGGCCAACUGGACGAAGACUGACGCUGAGACACGAAAGCGUGGUGAGCAAACAGG
rnacentral:rRNA from 1 species